GCCUCGCGUCCGAUUAGCUAGUUGGUGAGGUAACGGCCCACCAAGGCAACGAUCGGUAGCCGGACUGAGAGGUUGAACGGCCACAUUGGGACUGAGACACGGCCCAGACUCCUACGGGAGGCAGCAGUGGGGAAUAUUGCACAAUGGGGGAAACCCUGAUGCAGCGACGCCGCGUGGAGGAAGAAGGUCUUCGGAUUGUAAACUCCUGUUGUUGAGGAAGAUAAUGACGGUACUCAACAAGGAAGUGACGGCUAACUACGUGCCAGCAGCCGCGGUAAAACGUAGGUCACAAGCGUUGUCCGGAAUUACUGGGUGUAAAGGGAGCGCAGGCGGGCGAUCAAGUUGGAAGUGAAAUCCAUGGGCUCAACCCAUGAACUGCUUUCAAAACUGAUUGUCUUGAGUAGUGCAGAGGUAGGCGGAAUUCCCGGUGUAGCGGUGGAAUGCGUAGAUAUCGGGAGGAACACCAGUGGCGAAGGCGGCCUACUGGGCACCAACUGACGCUGAGGCUCGAAAGUGUGGGUAGCAAACAGGAUUAGAUACCCUGGUAGUCCACACCGUAAACGAUGAUUACUAGGUGUUGGAGGAUUGACCCCUUCAGUGCCGCAGUUAACACAAUAAGUAAUCCACCUGGGGAGUACGACCGCAAGGUUGAAACUCAAAGGAAUUGACGGGGGCCCGCACAAGCAGUGGAGUAUGUGGUUUAAUUCGACGCAACGCGAAGAACCUUACCAAGUCUUGACAUCCUGCGACGGACAUAGAAAUAUGUUUUUCCUUCGGGACGCAGAGACAGGUGGUGCAUGGUUGUCGUCAGCUCGUGUCGUGAGAUGUUGGGUUAAGUCCCGCAACGAGCGCAACCCUUAUGGUCAGUUACUACGCAAGAGGACUCUGGCCAGACUGCCGUUGACAAAACGGAGGAAGGUGGGGAUGACGUCAAAUCAUCAUGCCCUUUAUGACUUGGGCUACACACGUACUACAAUGGCGUUAAACAAAGAGAAGCAAGACCGCGAGGUGGAGCAAAACUCAGAAACAACGUCCCAGUUCGGACUGCAGGCUGCAACUCGCCUGCACGAAGUCGGAAUUGCUAGUAAUCGCAGAUCAGCAUGCUGCGGUGAAUACGUUCCCGGGCCUUGUACACACCGCCCGUCACACCAUGAGAGCCGGGGGGACCCGAAGUCGGUAGUCUAACCGCAAGGAGGACGCCGCCGAAGGUAAAACUGGUGAUUGGGGUGAAGUCGUAACAAGGUAGCCGUAGGAGAACCUGCGGCUG
rnacentral:rRNA from 1 species